rnacentral:lncRNA from 10 species
GGCCAGAGUUGCGGGCUGCGGAUUAGCAGAGGGGGCACCAGCCUGUCCCCUGGGGGCCGCCGCUCCACCCCGGGCUCUCGUAGGCGGUGGGGGGCUUUGCGGCGCCCCCACCCCAGCCACGCUGGGAGCGCAGCCCCGUAGAGCUCAAUGUGGAGCUCUCAAAAGGCAGGAGGAAGAUGAAAAGUGAGUCGAGAAGCUGGAGAGGAAGGGGGGAAACCCCAAACCAUAAUUGCCGCUUUCCUUCUGCAGCUCAGCCAGCCCCUUCCAGGUCCCACACCAGGUGCUGAGGACACAAAGAUGAGUAAGACACACCACUCGCCUCAGGGAGGUCCCGUUCUGUGCUGUCAAAUCACCCAGAGUGCAAGCUGACACUAAUUGACUGCUUACCAUGGGCCAGACGCUGUUCCAGACACUUUACAUGUAUUCAUCCAUUUACUCCUCACAAAACCUAAAGCAGGUGUUGUGUUAUCAUCUCACUGUUAAUCGGGCACUGAGACAGUAAGUGACUUGCCCAGGAUCCCUCUGGUUCUUGAGUCAGGUUCUCAGAGAUCCCUCAAGUCUCAAGGACUUGAAACAGGCAGGCUACCCAGACUUCCUCUCUAACAAGCAGCUUACUCCACACACAAGGAAACCAAGGCCCGAAGAGGAGAAGUGACUUGCCCAAUGCCACACAGAAAAGUGGCAAGGCUGGAACUAGACCCCAGCCAACACCCCCACUGAAACAUCCAGCUGCCCUCUUUGGCUGUGUGGAUGCCUCUCACACAUAUUCCAAGACAUGAAGUGAGAACCAUUUUCUGGCAUCUGGAAACUUCCUGUUUGUAAGGACCACCCAAUAGACCUACAAGGAACCAUGGAGACAGUGAUUUAAGGAAAGAAACAAAAUGAACUCCAGAUCAGAGAGCUGGGGGACAUUUCAGUAUCAGUGGCAUUGGGAAUGAGUUUCUUUAAGUUAAAAAUUUAUAUUUUAGUAACCAGAAAUUUCCCAUGUCUAUCGGAUGGAGUUUUACCAAUUUUCAAGGAAUCAGAAAAUGAUCAAGAUAACUACAUUUGAUACUGAACAAUGCUGAAUACUGAGUGAGGUUUUGUGGCUGUGGGUCAUUGCCAUACACAUCAGUUAGCGUGGAACCACUGGUGAGCAGAGGCCUCCAUUCUCCACCUGGACUUGCAGCCAUGGCAUGACAGCCUGGAACAGAACACCCAGUGUGAACAUCAGGAACCAGAAGAUGCUUGGUAGCACACAUCAGAAAUGGCAGGAGAACCCUUGCUGGGUGUCAGAGCCCAAGCGACUGUGCACAGAGUGCUUGAUCAUGAAGUUACUCUGGUGCCCCAGCCAGAAUUCCCACACCUUAAAAAAGCAAUUGCAAGUGCUGCAACAGACCUCUUCGUGGAAAAGCAAACCUCACAAAUAAAAUCUGGGUUUGAAAAUAAAAUGCCUGACCUAAUUUGAUGGUGACUGCCUUCCAGGUUGGUUUGUGUGGGGGCACUGGGAUGUCGGGGCUCUGGUUCUUAUUAGAAUUCUCCUGUGCUCUCAGGAUGGGCAAACCUGGCUCAUUGCAGGCCGGACCCACAGCAGGGCUGGGAAAGGGCCCUCAACUGGGAGUCAGGGACCUCAAAUGUACCAACCAGCAGUGGCACAUCACGUCUCCGUGAUUCAGGGCAGGGGACAACAAAAGGAAGAUGGAAGUAUUCCCUAAUACAGCUGGAGGAUUCACGUUACCCAUGCCGGGAGAAUAGCCAAGGAAGGAAACCCCAGCUCACGCCCUCCUGCAUUCUUUACAAGGACACACGGGAGUGGGGAGCAUGCCCUGAGCAGAGCGGACUCAAGCUUGGGCCCCUGUUCGAGGAGUGCUAAAAAAUCUUGCGCCCUCUGGAUGCUUUUUGAAAUUUCAAAAUGGAUGAAACAGUGACUUCAAAAAAUCAAUGGUAAUUUUAGAUCAGGCUUUUUGCAAACUUCUCACUUCCUCCUGGAGAGCCUGAUAAACACAGGGCAGGCACUGACAAAUGCUAGUUUCAUUCCAGGAAGGUGUGAAAAUUGAGUUUGUUGGGCAUUGCCUGGGCUUCAGGCAGGAAAGAACGAAUGGCACUUUCCUGGGGACGACUCCUCUCACUGCAAGACUUUAGGGCCUGGGCAGAGUAAAGAUGGUCCAGACCUGCCCUGGCCAGCAGUUCUUGGCCACAAUGGAGAGGCUCUGUGACAAAAUAGUGUGCUACACAAUGUGCAUGUCUUGAUGUUGUUACUAAUAUUGCUGUAAUUAUUCCUGAUUCUGUGAUUUUCCACUAGGUCACACUGCUUUGUAAUUUUGGCUUUGACUUCUUAGCAGGAAUGAGCUGUAGGUGACUUAGGAGGUGUCUGUUUGCUCAUCAUUUAUUCUGUUCACUGCUUGGAUUUCAUCUGCUAUUCUUUUUUUUUCCUUCAGUUUACCUAAUGUGGGCCAACAUUUCCUGGGUAUCCAUGACACAAGAGGAAUCUUGGGAAAGGCCCCGGCCCUGAAGGAACUUAGACUGGCCUAGAGGAAACCAGGCAUAGACCAGUCAUAGGUAAAUGAUUAGGUGUCACUAUAUGGUUGAGCGCCGUAAAACUCAGGCUUUCUGUCCAAGGUAACUAUUUUUUCAACUUUCUCUUCCAUUCUCUUAAGGCCAGAACAAAUCUGGCUUAAUUACAACAUGGCCUCUUUGAACAUCAGUUGACUUGAAACCAAGGUUUGAUGAGAUGCUGUUUAAAGGACCUUCCAGUUCUAGCUGAGGGGGUCUGAGAGACUCAUGUUAGCACAGGAGAGGGGCUCACUGCCCUUGAGUCUGAAUGUCCCUUGUCCCUGAAGCCCUCUGCUCCCAGCCGAGCCUCUACCCUGGCUGGCUCCUCAUGUUGGCACCGCCCUGCUGCAUUACCUGGCUCCUGUGCUUUUUCAACUCCUUUUCUUUUUUUCUUUCUGUCUUUAGGGAAAAAGUGAAAAAGAGCAGACAUUUCUAGCACACUGUGGGUGGCCUGUAGGGGAGAUGAUGAGUUAGAAGACUGGUGGGGAGGGACACACUGUUGACUCACCGGGUCACCCCUGGAGCCAUUUUACAUCACCAAGAGAUGAUCACUGGACUCUGCUGGUGGGCACUGUCCUAUGCCCUGCAGGAGGCCUCCCAGGAACCCAGAGCAAUACUGGUUGUGUGAGCAUAAGGAGGGGCAGUGACUCUGCAGAGCACUAAGACCCUUCAUGGGGCAGACGACAGAGAGCCCCAUGGGGGCUGUGGUUCUCGCCAACUCCAGGCAACUGACUCCAAAUGCCCUCUUCUCUCCAAGUCUACUCCCUCCACCCUGCAGACUGAGUGGCCCCACCCGGAGCCACACGGGCCACACCCUGGCCUAUACUGGGCACUCAGGGUGAAUAGCUGCUGCUUAGCACAGCGCCUGACCACAUGGUGUGUAGGUGGCCAGAGAAAUUCAGCUUAAUGAAUGACUGCUUCAAAGCCACAACAUAUUAAGCUAAAAUAGUUAUUAAAUGAAUAGCAAUUGACACAGCACUUUUAUAUGUCUCUUAUUUUCUUAUUA